rnacentral:lncRNA from 1 species
AAUAGAAUCGUACCGUCCCAACUAAAAAAAAAUUCAUACAACACAAUACAACAAUCAAGCCAAGCAUCCAAAUUAAGUUUUACACAUUUUCCAGUUUCAAGUGGCAAUCCAAAAUAAAAAGUACCUUAUCCGAAUUUAACACACUACAGCCCACACAAUUAGUCAUAGUAUACAUAUACAUCCCAAAACGAAACAUAGAUAAAUUUUAAAACUUUCAAUUUCCAGAACCUGUCAAGGAAAACAAAUAAACGUGGGGUGAGUUAAAACUCAGUGGUGCCCCAAAACAUGCAAUCAGAUAAAACAAAUAUCACGUAUCGAUUUUACUUAAAGUAAACAAAUAGGAACGCGUGUAACAGCACAAGAUAGGAUACAGGGCUCUCAGGAGCCAUUCUCCUUGCUUGAUCAGAAAUUACCGUAGUCGACCCUCCGUCAACUCUCACUACUUAAAAUCCAUGUAGAUACUCUUAUUUUUCUUAGCUCCGGCCACCGAACAUACCCCAACUCCGGGCCCGCACGACAAAAUAAAUGAGAGCGGUAGUACUCGAGUAUACCUGGAACUGGUCGAGGAAUUUUCCCAACGACGUUGCAUCCAGCAAGAGAUUAGUAUAGACUGGUCGAGGGAUUCACCCAACGACGUUGCGUCCAGCAUGUAGAUAGUGCAAGCAGGAUUUUCACGAAAACAUUUCAAGCAAGUCUCCACUCGAACGGCUAAUGUGGUAAAGUACACAUAGCUCACUUCGAUAGAUCAAAACCAUAUUUCUAAAUAUCACAUAUCAAGCCGAGAAAGCGCAUUAAUCAGGUAAGCAUAGAACAAGCAGGGACACUCACCAAGAGUGAAGUUCAAAGGUCAAGUCGGGAAUCGUAGUCCAAGUCCUCGCUAAAUCCUAGAAAUCCAAGUUUUAAGAACUAUAAGUUUUACUAAGCAAACUCUUGACUUCAAACAUAUAAAAGAUUAUCUUGUAUUAAACUAGUUUAUUUCCCUGAAACAAAUCAAUAAAUUUCUUAAACAUCAAGACUAGUAAGGAAUAAAGUGUUUCAUGUGGUUUCUUUAAAGAUAUUUUCCUCUGGAGGCAAACUAUAACCAAAUUGGUUCAAACGGGUUUUCUUGCCGAAUAAGUUUUCUAUGCCUUUUAUUUGAAAUUAUUUAAAUCUAGUAUUUUUUUUUCCAAAUUUCCUUUAAAACAACUAGUCAAGGAUAGUUUCAUGAAAACUUAAAGUUUAAAAGUUAAAUACAAUUACUCCCUAAAGGUAGUAAAACUAGCUUAAGCAAAAUAAAAGAAUUAACUAGUCGGCAAGGUUUUAAAAGUCCCAAUAUCUAACUUUUUUUUUUAAUAGUACAUACUAAACCCAAAUUCCAUCACUUGAUAUUAAAGUUGAGUAUUCCCACAAAAAUUUAAUUUUGAAAGUAUUCAAGUUCAAGAAUAAUCAAAACGGUCUUCACGAUUCUAGCUCAUUUGCACAAUGGAUUCCCAGGUCACCAAGAUUGAAACAUUACAAACCAAAUAUCAAUUUUACUAGGGUUUCAUCAAUCAUUAGCCCUAGGUCUCAACAAAUUCCAGUACAAUUAAAAUUCAACAAAGGAAGUCCAGGUACUAAAGCAAAUCCCAAGUCACAACCCAUGGACUUUCCAAGUACAUUUCAGCCAACCACUUGAGCCGAUUCACCAAAAAUUAAAUUAUUGCAAAACUAUUCGAAUGGUCAAGAGCUUCAUCAAUCAUUAACUCUUGACAACCAAUACUCGCUUCAAACACCAAUCCAUUCAAAAUAAGAAUAAAAACUACAGCCCCCUUGACUCCCAAGUAGUUCUAAAAUUCAGAUUUUCUUUUCUUGAUUCGGUAGUCAAGAAAAACCCAGCAAAAUUCAAUCCAAGAUGUCCAUUAUACCUUUAACUUUUACUUGCUAAAUUCACUAAACACAUAGCUUAUCAUCUGUCCAAACCAAGCUAAAGUAAAUAAUACACCAAUCCAACAAAUAAACUCACCAAACGUCCCAACCAGUUCGGUCAUGCUGGAAAAUAUUUUUCCUUCAAGAAUUGCUUUAGUUCAUGUUCCACAAAUCAAACAAUUAUGAAAAUUAUACUGUUGUAAAAUAGAUUUUUAAUACUAUCACAUCCCAGAAGACACUUUUCAGAGAUUCAAAUCACAAAUAGACCAAAUAUUCGAUCCAUAUCAAGAAUUCAGUUUCCUGAAGAAACAGGACAUUCAAGCAGGACAACCUACUUUGAGGAGUCACGUACAGCAGUACACAUGGAGGAAAAAUAUGAAAUUUCUACAAAACAAAGGCCCAUGAUUCUAGUUUCAAAUGCCACUGACGGCACCUCAAUCGGAUUUUCCUACACCAAGAUAUAAGCAUUUUACUGAGACUGGUCAGUGAAAUCCGAAAAUCUGGAAACUCAUUUUUCACUCGUGAAAAACUCCUUUUUCUCUUUUAAAACCAUAAGACUUUUAUUCAAACCAACCAUACAUCUAAGUAUGACAUUCAUACCAGCAUAUACCAAAGCAAAUAACGCUUAAUUCCAGUAAAUUAUUCCACCAAAAAGUCCCAUAAAUCUGUCAUCAGCUAAGAUAAAAUUUUCCAGCAAUUGAUAGUUUAUUUAUAUAGCUUUUGUUCCUAAUUUUCUUCAAUUCUUACCUCAGCUCAACAUGCAAAAGAUGAUUAGCAAGCUUCAAGCAAAUCUUAAACAUCCAAUAUGAAAAUCUUAAUUAAAAAUUCGGAAACAAAACUAAUUAAAUGCUCAACUUCCUUCUCUCGACCAAGCUGGAAUAUUUUGCAGCAGAAAAUUUCUCUCGGUUUCAAUCCACAAUUCAACUUUUCCUCAGGUUUUCUUCCAUUAAACUUCACUUAAUACUUAAAGCUAACAAUCUACAUGCAAUUCAUAACAAAAUUUUCCAUUUGACAGCAAUUACGGAUGCAAACAAACAUGAAGUCUCUCGGCUAUUCCAGAAAAUUUCCAGCAACUUAGUUAGUCGCAAAUCUGGAUUUUUUUCCUAAAACUUUAUUUUUUUUUGUACUCAAAACUAACAUGCAUGACUAAUCAACGUAUUUACUAUCAGUCCUAGUUCAAAUUAGGUUUGGAUAUCAACAACAUUCAACGACAAAUCCAGAAUUUUGUUCACUACUCUCGGAUAAGCUUGCAUGCAGCAGAUUCCUGUUUCUUUUUUUUUUCUUCUGGCAUAAUCCGGCUAGUUAGCUUCAUGCGUGGUUUAAACAUCUUGUUUUCAGUUAGUUAAACACAUUUCUAAUCUCAGAUUACCUCAGAGGAACAAAUUUAAAGCUGCAUUGCUAGAUUAAACUCUCGGCAACUUCAAUUCUUUCCAAACCAGAUUUCUUAAGUCUCAAUUCCUCAUCUAACCUCACAAACCCACAUGCAUGCGUAUAGACAGCUUCAUCAACCCGUAAACAAUUUAUCUAAGUCCAGAACUUACCUUAGCCUGAAGCCUAAAACACACAGCUAGCAGCUGCAACAAUUCUCUCUCUCGGCUGUCCAGAAAAAAAAAUGCAGACCUCUAGUUCUCUCUUCCUCUCUCCCUUGCUCUGGCUUGCGGCUGGAUGAAGGAACUCUGGUCUCAAGCUCUGCACCAGCUCACAGAUGGAAGACAGACCGAAUCACAAGUCCCUCUCUUCCCUCUCUGGUUUACGGACAGAAAAGAAAAGAAACAGGAAGCUCGGCUCACUCACCAGAAAUCUGAAAAUUUUCCUGUUCACCCUCUCGGCCCUCGGCUCGCACAAGUUUUGGUUGUGGUAGUUGCGGCUGGAACCUGGUUGCAGCUGACCGAGAUGGAGGUGCAGAAUGAUGAAGCUCACUCACGGUUUUCUCCCUGGUUUCACUCCAGCUCACGGACAGAACUAGAGAAUUUGGCAGCCGCGGUUUCCUCCUCUUCGAUACACACGAGGUGAGUCUCUCCCUCUCUUUUGCUCUCAGUUCGAAAACUGGGUGGAGUUAUGGAGUGUGUUGUGGUCUGAGGGGAAUUUGUGCAGAGAAAUGGAAUG